UUAGCUCUUAUGCGAUCGGAAACAAGUUUAACAUUAUUAUUCCACAAAUCAGUAGCAAGCCAAUCGUGCUCGGCGUUACCCAAUGCAUCAACAAAUAUAUCAGAUAAAUGAAUGCCCAUUUUGAGAGGUUCACUGGCAGCAUUCAGAACAGCCACUACCCAAUCAUUAUUGGAAAGCCUUCCAGAAAAAAGCUCUAUAUAUUCGUCACCGUAUUUUUUUUUCCAAAUAAGAGCAGCAGGAUUUGUACCAAUAUCUUGAUUUAUAGAAAUUAACUCUUUGUUGGAUACAAUUAACUUAUCCAUAGGAGACAUGCUACUGACAUCGUUACCAAGUAUAAGGGGAGAUUUUAGUAUUGCCCACAUUGUGAAAUGAGUUUUAUACUCCUCAAAGCUCAUACCUCCAUUUCCAACCUCUAACGAAUCAAGAUCGUUCCAUCCACUGUUCAUACCUGCUUUAGAACUAAGAAACGAUGCUUUACUAAUAAUAUUCAUUACUGAACAAUGAUCUCCCUGAAGCGCAAAACAUUCGAUUGUCUCGCACGGACAACGCACAUCCUUACGACUAAAUGUAUCAAAGAUAUCUCCACUUAUCCUCCAAGAGUUAGCUAUUGUAUUUCCCCAAUUCCAAACAAAAUCUUCACCCCAUUGGCAUAAAGAGUAAAAAAUUGGUCUUCCAGUUUUGUUUAGAGCAUCAGACAUUCGCUUGUAACGUUCAUAGCUAAUCAAGGGAACGCCGCUUUUCCCUUCGUUGAAGCAAUUGUCAUACUUUAAGUAAUCUACUCCCCAAUCUGCAAAUGUAUCAGCAUCAAUUUGCUCAUGGUUUAAUGAUCCAGGAAAUCCAGCACAUGUAUAUUUCCCUGCACUUGAGUACAUUCCAAAUUUAAACCCCAUGUCAUGUAAUUUUUUUGCCAUUGAACCAAUUCCGUUGGGGAAUUUAUCAGGAUUUGCUUCCAAUCUACCAGUGGUUGCAUUCCGCUCAUGCUUGCUCCAACAGUCAUCCAUUACUAUAUACUCAUAACCUAAGUCAAGAAGUCCUUCCUCUUUUAUAGCCUUGGCAUUAUUAAGGAUUAUAGACUCAUCGAUAUCACAGGCAUAUUUAUUCCAAGAAUUCCACCCCAUUUGAGGUUUUAGUCCCAAACCAUUAUAGCUACCAUGAACAUCUGAGAAAAACAAAAAAAGGAAUACCAAAAAAAAGCAAUUUAAAAAUGAAAUGGAUAUCAUUGUUAAUGGUUGAUUCACAGAAGUGCGCUAGCUAGCUGCAUAAUGCUAUUCUUGAAUAACCUUAUCGACAUCAUAUUACGUUUCGAAAUGUUACUUAAAGGCAUUCACUUAGUAAAGGAUUUUAGAAUAGGAAGGUCAAAACUUAAGCAUGCAGUGAGGUUCUUUGAAGCAGGUUAUUUUUAUUUAGCUUAAUGUUACAAUGAAACUCGAGUAAAUAUAUAUAUUAGAAUAAGAGUAGUCAAUUAUUUUAAAUAACUCGAGUACUUUUCAUACAUUAACCAAACAAUGUUUAAGAACAAGAAGUCAAUAUCGCUUACAUAAUGAUAAAACGUUACGGUUACUUAAUAAGAUUUUUACAAGGACAUAUUGGAAUGCGGAUUAUUUAACUCAUGUGCUACGGUAAUACAUU
rnacentral:lncRNA from 1 species